AGUGAACGCUGGCGGUAGGCCUAACACAUGCAAGUCGAGCGGCAGCACAGUAAGAGCUUGCUCUUACGGGUGGCGAGUGGCGGACGGGUGAGGAAUACAUCGGAAUCUACUUUUUCGUGGGGGAUAACGUAGGGAAACUUACGCUAAUACCGCAUACGACCUACGGGUGGAAGCAGGGGAUCUUCGGACCUUGCGCGAUUGAAUGAGCCGAUGUCGGAUUAGCUAGUUGGCGGGGUAAAGGCCCACCAAGGCGCCGAUCCGUAGCUGGUCUGAGAGGAUGAUCAGACACACUGGAACUGAGACACGGGCCAGCCUCCUACGGGAGGCACCAGUGGGGAAUAUUGGACAAUGGGCGAAAGCCUGAUCCAGCCAUACCGCGUGGGUGAAGAAGGCCUUCGGGUUGUAAAGCCCCUUUGUUGGGAAAGAAAAGCAGCAGGUUAAUACCCCGCUGUUCUGACGGUACCCAAAGAAUAAGCACCGGCUAACUUCGUG
rnacentral:rRNA from 1 species